rnacentral:lncRNA from 1 species
CGGGGGGCGUCGAGCGCGAGGACGCCAUCCGCCGCCUGACGCGCGCACGCGGGCCGGAGCAUUAAAUGCGCCCGAUGCUUCCCCACCUAACGCACAGGUCACGGGAGGCGUGAUAGGGAACAGGCUUCCGUCCCAUCAAUCUUUUUGCAGCCUUCCUACCGAACGACCCGGGGCGUGUCGGGACACAGGAAACAAGGAUGGAACGUCUAAUCGGGACCCCCUCGAGACACCCAAGGUCAGCGCUCCAGAUAUCAGCAUAUUACGCAGCGUCCGACCCUCGACCGAACAGGGUCCCUUCCCAGGGACAAGUUGGGCGUCGACUGACAACACCACAGCUACCCCGCCGGAUCCGCCGCCAUGCCGUACAAGCACGCGACCUCAGAACCAGUGCAAGGCGGCGCGCAGGGCAGAACGCAGGAGCACGCGUAAUCAUCACCGGGCUAUCAAGAUGGGACGGCUCGAGGCCAUGCCGUACGGAAGCCUCGAGUAGGUCGGCGCUCCAUGCGGCUAUCGACCCCUACUCUAACAUCUACGCAUGUACCCUGUGUCUCUCCUUGGAGCUAUAAAAGGAGAGACUCAGGAAUAGAAGGGAGAACACACUACGACACAAGGCCACACUCAUACGUAGUAGAGCUUCACACUUCAUACCACGCUUGUAUUCGCCCCUGUACAAGCACUUAGGUGCAAGAUAAUACAAACUCUCUCCCCCCGCUGGACGUAGGGCCUUCUCUUGCCCGAACCAGGAUAAAUCUCUGUGUCUUCUUGCAUCACCAUCCGGGAAAGGGAGCACGCAUACAAAUUUACUCGUUGGUGUGACCCCCCGGGGGGAAAACACCGACAGUUGGCGCGCCAGAUAGGGGUCCUGCGUGUUUUCCAUCGAUUUCCCACUCCUUUCCGGAUGGCUACUCUCGCCUCGCCAUUUCCGCGCUCCACGGUGAUUUGGUUUGGGAGUCUCGAGUUCAUGUCUACGGGCUCCGGCUACGACAUGAUCUUGCUCUCAGUCAAAGGACCAGGAGGAGCCCGCGUUACGCCAGCACGGUUGAAGGCCCCGAGACGCCCUCACCACCACGCCUCCCCGCCUAAGAAGAGGCGCGGACAGCACCACCGCGGCCCCUCUGCUUCAGCACGACCAACAGCUCGUGCGAGGCAGGACGUGGGCCACAAGGCGGCAGCACCAUGUGACGGAGCAACAAGCGCGACGACUCAGCACCGCGCGACGACGGGAGGGGACGCGUCUCGCGCGCUCUCCCCUACCGCAGCUAGGCUACUUCCACACGGGUUGUUCUCUCCAAGGGCGGCACUGCCGUUCGGGUUGGACAACGCCGCGGCGUCGCUCGCCAGGGCGAUAUGCCCAAACGCCCAGACGUACGUAGAAAGACCAAUGGUCCUCCCACGUAGCUCUGAAGCGCGGCGGCCGGCGUCCGAGCUGCCGGACCUUUCCCGAGUACGAGACCUCCGUCGUCUAGGCCCCGGACGAUACUCGAUCACCUCCCUCAGGCAACGAUUUCUAGAGGAAGGACGUAGGUGUUCCCACGCCGCCGAACCGGACUCCGACUCCGAAACAGAUAGCUAUGACCCUACGAGGGAAUGCUAUCACAUCGACGGGGCGGUAGAAACUACUGACGAGACACGGGAUGCUGCCGCGGGUGGUCGAGCCCCCGCAGCGCGAGAAGACCCCAGGACGCCUGGGAACGACGGACAGCUCGACCCCCCUCCUCAGGAAGACAGAACCGCGCAGCUCGCGCAGCUGCGGGAGCUCAAAAUGAAGCUCGACGAAGACCGCGAGCGCCUCGUCCUGCUCGAGCAAAUCCUCGAGCAAGACCUGCCUUACCCGCCGGGCGGAAGUGUCCGCAGACGCGCUCGAGAGGUACAUCGACAGAUCGUCGGCGACGCAGAGCCAGAGCAACCUGUCAGCCGUUUCCCUCGAGCAGGCCAGAAUGUAGUGGCAGCGACGAUGCUGCUACGUAACAUGCCAGAGCCGUCGAAUUCCCAGGCCCGACGCAUUCGAGAUGAAGUACAGACAUUGCUCCAGGUGGCAGCGGUUCAACAAGCCGAAAGUUCGGCGUCUCGACGACGAGGAGCUGCCACAGAGAAGCACGACGAACAGCCUCUAAAUGAAGAGGAGGUGUCAGUCCAUCAACAACCUCCCCCUCGAGGUAGAAAGACCGCUCUCAUCCUCCCUGCCGACAAUCAACGUCGACACGACGCGCGGCACGACAUCAAAGAAAAUAGACGCCGCCGGCACGGAGACGCGGAAGAGCGUGGUUAUAGCGCGCAUCGCGGUGGGAGAUACGACAGCGACGAGGACCGGGUGACCCCCGAGCCACCGGGCCCACGGGUGUUCAGCAGGGCGAUUCGCAGCACGCCCCUGCCCAAUCCAUUUCGACCCCCAACCAGCAUCGCGAAGUACAAUGGAGAGACCAAGCCAGAGCUAUGGCUGGCCGAUUUCAGGCUGGCCUGUCAGCUAGGUGGCGCUCGAGGUGAUGAUCGAGCCAUCAUCAGACAGCUACCCCUUUUCCUCUCUGACACCGCCCGUCGAUGGCUCGAGGAACUCCCUGCCAAUCAGAUCCACAACUGGGUUGAUCUGGUCAGAGUCUUCGAGGGAAACUUCAAAGGGACCUACAUACGGCCAGGGAACUCGUGGGACCUCAGCAAAUGCAAGCAGAAGUCAGGAGAAACUCUUCGGGAGUAUGCUCGACGCUUCUCGAAGCAGCGCACUGAGCUGCCACACAUCCCUGACCACGACGUCAUCUUGGCGUUUGUCUCGGGCACCACCAGUCGAGACUUGGUGCGGGAAUUAGGUCGCAAUCGACCUCAGACCGUCGACGAGCUGAUGGACGUAGUAGCUAACUACGCGGCAGGGGAAGAGGCAGUCGGCGCCUUCUUCAGCUCAGAAGGAAGAAAAGGCAAGCAGCCCGUCGAUGAAGAUGGGAUCUCCAGUCGAGGCCUCAAGAAAAAUAAAAAGAAGCAGAAAGUGCGGCAAUUCCACCGGGAAGACUCCGAUGACAACCUCGUCGCCGCCAUGGAUCGAAAGAAGCCUCGAGGCCCUCCGGAUGGAGGCAUCUUCGACAAGAUGUUGGAGGAGCCGUGCCCUUACCAUAAGGGAGGUGCCAACCACAAGCUCAAGGACUGUCGUAUGCUGAGAAGGCAUUUCGACGGUCCAGGGUUCAAAAAACAUACGCGUGAUGACUCCAAGAAAGAGAAGGCUGGCAGCAAGGAGGACAACAAAGAUGACGACGGCUUCCCCGCCGUCCACGACUGCUACAUGAUCUAUGGCGGGCCCUCCACUCAACUAACCAUGAGGCAGCGCAAAAGGGAGCGUCGCGAAGUCUUUGCGGCAAGAAUGGCGGUGCCCCAGUACCUUAGCUGGUCAAGCACUCCUAUCACUUUCGACCGAGAGGACCACCCCGACAAGGUAGUCGCCCCAGGCGUCUACCCGCUCGUCGUCGACCCCAUCAUCGUCAACACCCGACUCUCGAAAGUGCUGAUGGAUGGUGGCAGCAGCCUCAACAUCAUCUACCUCGAGACCCUCGACCUCCUCGGCGUCGAUAGAGGACGCCUCCAGCCGAGCGCCGGCGGUUUCCAUGGCGUCGUGCCAGGGAAAAAGGCACUGCCGGUAGGUCGAAUUGACCUACCGGUCUGCUUCGGCACGGCGGCAAACAUCAGGAAGGAGACCCUCACCUUUGAGGUGGUUGGGUUCCGAGGCACGUACCACGCCAUCAUCGGGCGCCCGGGCUACGCCAAGUUCAUGGCUAUACCCAACUACACCUACUUGAAGCUGAAGAUGCCCGGUCCCAAAGGCGUCAUCACUGUCAGUUCCUCCUUCGAGCAUGCGUACGAGUGCGACGUCGAGUGCGUCGAGUACGGGGAGGCGGUCGAGAACUCCACCGAGCUCGUCGCGAAGCUCGAGGCCCUGGCCGCUGAGGCUCCAGAGCCUAAGCGCCACGCGGGCAGUUUCGAGGCGGCGGAAGGAACCAAGAAGAUCCCGCUCGACCCCAACAACUCCGACGGCAAAAUGCUGACGAUCAGCACCGAGCUCGACCCCAUAAUGGAAGCAGAGGGCCCGCAUGAAGCGGCUCGGGGGCGCGCCCAGACCGUGGCGGUGGAACUUGGCGAACGACACCACGUAGCCCUCAGGCGGCUGAGGCCCCCUGUGACUCGCCGGCGGCGCGAUCCACUCCGGCGACGAUAGCGAGGUGCGGCGGCGCAGCAGUCCCUCUUUCUCAAGCUCUAACAGCCGGCGCUCCGUCAUCGACGACGGGCGCCAGUCGUCGGCGGCGACGAGUCUUACAGGCAUCUCGGCUGGAGGGACGAUGGAUUCACUACAGCUCGAGCGGGCGUGUGCGCGUGAGACGGCGAGAAAGCAAAGGCAACAAGAGAAUAAGAGCGAGAAGGCGAAAGGGAGAGGAAUGGCGGCGACGCGACGACGUAUUUAUAGGCAGCAGUCCGCCAACGGACAGAUCCGAGAAAUAAGGUAACUCCCCCCAUAAAUGCGCCGUCUGACAGUCCUCUCUCUCCUCACAGGCCGGACUCUCCGAAUUCCCCGCCGAUACAGUGUCGCAACGUCAUCCGCCUAAAAAGGCGCGCCCAACGGGCAGAAAGGCGAACCGCCACGGCCCCUUCCUUCCCUCGUAAGCCAAGGGACGUAACCACCAAAGUCUCGAGAGGUCGAUGGCUGGCCCGCCGAAAGGGUUCGACAGCCGAUCUCGAGCGCCAGAGUCAGGGAUCCCCAGUGAGCGGUCGAAGAUCGAGGCCCGCCUCGAGGACUCGCUGGCGAUGUUCAAGGUAGGGUCGAGACUGUCGAGAGGAAUCCCCCCGACGGGAGGCAUCGAGCCGCCGGUCUCUAUCGAAUGAGACUGGUAUCCCUGACCACGUCGACCCUGCUUUAUGAGAACGCCUCCGGGCUACAGCUGACCCCCUCGAAAGGGGCACAGGUUCUCACUUGGACUACCCGCUAGGAACUCAAUUUGGGGUGGAAGACGCUCGCUCUAUCGAGAGUACGUCGAAACCCCCGGGCAAAAACGAGCCAGUCAGAACUUUCCACCACUGGUGUCGAAAGCGUUCCUGCGAAUUAGACAACAUAACCCUCGAAGGAGUCAAAAACUCCUCCGAGGGCUCGGGGGCUACCCCCGCGGGGUCGCUCGCGCGCCCCCACGGAAAUUUGACCGCAAAACAAAGCCUCCACUCGAGCGCUAGCGCUCAAAUGGAGGCUCGGGGGCUACUGUCGAGGGUAUCAGUAAGGGGUACCCUCAGCGAUGCGCAUUACGAGAUUGCCCGUACGCAGGUCGAGACCCUCAAUUCGACGCUCUAAUCUCACGUAUCCGCCGCCAUCGACGGCCGCAACCUCGAAGACGGAAAUAGCGUCGAGCGAAUCGAUCAGGCGUCGAGCGCUGGUUACCGUCGAAUACGGAACAGGCUCAUGCGAACCGGGGGGCGUCCAGCGCGAGGACGCCAUCCGCCGCCUGACGCGCGCACGCGGGCCGGAGCAUUAAAUGCGCCCGAUGCUUCCCCACCUAACGCACAGGUCACGGGAGGCGUGAUAGGGAACAGGCUUCCGUCCCAUCAAUCUUUUUGCAGCCUUCCUACCGAACGACCCGGGGCGUGUCGGGACACAGGAAACAAGGAUGGAACGUCUAAUCGGGACCCCCUCGAGACACCCAAGGUCAGCGCUCCAGAUAUCAGCAUAUUACGCGGCGUCCGACCCUCGACCGAACAGGGUCCCUUCCCAGGGACAAGUUGGGCGUCGACUGACAACACCACAGCUACCCCGCCGGAUCCGCCGCCAUGCCGUACAAGCACGCGACCUCAGAACCAGUGCAAGGCGGCGCGCAGGGCAGAACGCAGGAGCACGCGUAAUCAUCACCGGGCUAUCAAGAUGGGACGGCUCGAGGCCAUGCCGUACGGAAGCCUCGAGUAGGUCGGCGCUCCAUGCGGCUAUCGACCCCUACUCUAACAUCUACGCAUGUACCCUGUGUCUCUCCUUGGAGCUAUAAAAGGAGAGACUCAGGAAUAGAAGGGAGAACACACUACGACACAAGGCCACACUCAUACGUAGUAGAGCUUCACACUUCAUACCACGCUUGUAUUCGCCCCUGUACAAGCACUUAGGUGCAAGAUAAUACAAACUCUCUCCCCCC